rnacentral:rRNA from 1 species
CCUACGGGUGGCUGCAGUGAGGAAUAUUGGUCAAUGGACGGGAGUCUGAACCAGCCAAGUAGCGUGAAGGAUGACUGCCCUGUGGGUUGUAAACUUCUUUUAUAUGGGAAUAAAGUGUGGCACGUGUGCUCUUUUGUAUGUACCCUAUGAAUAAGGAUCGGCUAACUCCGUGCCAGCAGCCGCGGUAAUACGGAGGAUCCGAGCGUUAUCCGGAUUUAUUGGGUUUAAAGGGCGCGUAGGUGGGUUGUUAAGUCAGUUGUGAAAGUUUGCGGCUCAACCGUAAAAUUGCAGUUGAAACUGGCAGGCUGGAGUACAGUAGAGGUGGGCGGAAUACGUGGUGUAGCGGUGAAAUGCUUAGAUAGCACGAAGAACUCCGAUUGCGAAGGCAGCGCACUGGACUGAAACUGACACUGAGGCACGAAAGUGUGAGUAUCGAACAGGAUUAGAUACCCUUGUAGUC